rnacentral:lncRNA from 10 species
UUGCAUAUCUACUUCUGAACAAUAAUGGGAAUGGUUACAAUGACUGAUUCAGGCUGGGUCACGUACCUAAACUUGUGACCAGGGGUCUCUAGUUUUAGAAAUGGAAACCCCUUUCACAACCACGAUGUUGGAGAGGGAAGCAGCUACCUCAAAAGAAGGGAAUGAACGGUUGAGACCAGACAAUAUAAUAAGUGGCCACUCUCUGGUAGAGAAAGACUUUGGAGGAAACCCAUCAGGCAUCCAGAACCCACAGCUCUGCCAUCAGAACUCCAUCCUGGGAACAGAAGCCGUCUAUCUGCAUCUGUAAACAUGGCCUCAUGUAGUGACGUGCAGGGAAAUGAGUGUGCCCUUGCAAUGGUAAAUCCACGGGAACCUUCUCAGUGCAGUGGUAAUACAGAGUAUAAAGUAGCCCUCCUUACUCUUAAGAGGAAAUUUUGCCUCUUCACCUUUCCAAAAGAAAUGACGGUAAUUGUUCUUUAAUUCUCAAACAACCUUAUCUUUUGGUAGCUCAAUAAUGGCAGCAUCUGGUAUAACUUGGAUGCAAGGACUGUUGGCAAGAUCACUAUAAUUUCCAAGAUUUCCAGAAAUUUUCAAUUAAGACUGUUAAAAAUAAAAAAAUACAGGAUAUGAUUUUCAAAGCUGGAAAAUAAAUGCCUGAUUAUAUGGAAUGGUCCCCUUUUGAGGAAAGAAACUGGGAAUAGUUUGGAGCACAAUUUGGCAUAAUGAAGGGAAUGUAAGGUUUAGUCCUGCAGUCACUAAUUGUAUGACUUCAGGCAAAUUACCCUUUCUAGGCCUCAGUUUCCUUAUCUGAAAAAUGGGGAUGAUAAUAAUACUGUACCUACCUCAUAGGUUGCUUUGAUGAUUAAAUGAGCCAAUACAUGUAAAGUACUUGGAAGAGCACUUGCCUCUAGUAGAGCUUGUUCUUAUUAUCAACACUACAGGAGUUACUAGGAAUACAUGAUUAAUUCUGCCUGUAGCCUUUUCAGAAGACUUAGCAU